CUUGACCGAGCCCAGCCACAGCGGCCGGUCGCGCUCCGCCCCGUACGCGGCGAGCAGCGCGUCGGCCUC
rnacentral:antisense_RNA from 1 species